UACGAAGGGUGCAAGCGUUAUUCGGAGUGAUUGGGCGUAAAGGGUGCGUAGGCGGCACGUUAAGUCAACUGUUAAAUACCUCAGCCUAACUGGGGAUCAGCGGUUGAUACUGAUGUGCUAGAGGAUGGAAGAGAGAAGUGGAAUUCUCGGAGUAGCGGUAAAAUGCGUAGAUCUCGAGAGGAACACCAAUGGCGAAGGCAGCUUCUUGGUCCAUUCCUGACGCUGAUGCACGAAAGCAUGGGGAGCAAACAGG
rnacentral:rRNA from 1 species